UACGUAGGGCGCAAGCGUUGUCCGGAAUUAUUGGGCGUAAAGAGCUCGUAGGCGGUUUGUCGCGUCUGCUGUGAAGGUCCGAGGCUCAACCUCGGAUCUGCAGUGGGUACGGGCAGACUAGAGUGUGGUAGGGGAGACUGGAAUUCCUGGUGUAGCGGUGGAAUGCGCAGAUAUCAGGAGGAACACCAAUGGCGAAGGCAGGUCUCUGGGCCACAACUGACGCUGAGGAGCGAAAGCAUGGGGAGCGAACAGG
rnacentral:rRNA from 1 species